rnacentral:rRNA from 1 species
UACGUAGGGGGCAAGCGUUGUUCGGAAUUACUGGGCGUAAAGGGCGCGUAGGCGGCACGACAAGUCGGAAGUGAAAGCCCGGGGCUUAACCCCGGGUCUGCAUUCGAUACGGGCAGGCUAGAGUGUGGUAGGGGAGAUCGGAAUUCCUGGUGUAGCGGUGAAAUGCGCAGAUAUCAGGAGGAACACCGGUGGCGAAGGCGGAUCUCUGGGCCGAUACUGACGCUGAGGAGCGAAAGCGUGGGGAGCAAACAGG